CAGAAGGCCUUCCACCACCAGAAGAUUUCUUCUCAUGCCCUUUGGCUGUGUAGGUCGUGGACCCAUCCCUAAGUCCCUCUUACCAGGAGAAAGACACGCACCUCACAGGGGAGGAAGGAACUGGAGCAAUAAUGUGGAGCUGGGAGACAAGGACUCAAGGGCUAGCCUUGGGAAACAAGCCCCGCCAGCCUGAUCAUCACGGAAUUUAAACAGACAACAAAGUCGAGAUCCCACAAGACCAAGAUAGAAAGAAAGAUCACAGUUCACACAUUCUCCAGGCUGUGUGGCUCAGAGGAAGAGAGAGGCAUUUAUUCCCUAGGCUGGUGGUGGAGUGGGUGGAUGGCCGGUGGCUUUCCUGUGGAUCAAUGAAAGAAGAGGAUAGAAGUUGGAGUUCCCAAUCCAGCAGAGGGAGAGGAGGGAACAUUCUAUACACCAUGAAUGGAUGGUACAUACGUGUGCACGUGUACACACACACACACACACACACACUCACUCACUCACACCCACCCACUCACUCACGCACACACACUCACACACACACUCACACACACACAUACUCACACACACACACACACACACACACAUUCAUGCACACACAUGCAGGUGUACCUGUACACACAUAAAGGUGUGACACACACUCAUGCACACACGUACAGGUAUGCCUGUACACACAGGCACACAUACUCAUGCCCAUACACAAAUACACCUGCACAUAUGUAAUACACCACAGUACACACGUGCAUAUUCUUACAUGCACAGCACACCCACAUGCAUGAACACGCACACACACAUACACACCCACUAGAGCAGUUUAAAGGAACUAUCCCUGCAACUGAAAGCACUGUUGGUUUUUAACAAAAUCUCAAGUGGGCAAUUUUAUCAAUGAAGACUUGGGAACCAGGUGCUAGGGGUGAAAGCCUGCUAGUUCAGAGAAGCAGAGAAAGCACCGAGCUGACCCUCCUCCACAGCCGACAUCCCCAAAGGAAAGCUCUCCUACUCUAUGCCUUCUCAAAACCCCCUCAAGCUGAUUGUCCCUCCUUUCUACUUCCUGUGUCUCUCUCUCCAUCCUCCUGACUUCCUCUUACCCGCUAUGUCUUCCUAUGUCCACUCCCUGUCUGCUAACCUGCUCCACCUCUUGGCCUGUGGCUGACUUUAUUCAAUCCUGUUUACAGUAUUCGUGCAGAAAGCUCUUGAAUUAAAAGUGUGUGCUAGGGCUGAGUCACACAACAACUAGAAACAGGUUUUCUUCCAGGAAGUGUGAUCAAAUAUCUUGCAACGAAGCACAGGACGAGAAGACAGAAUCAAGCCUCUGUCUCCUCUGUGUGACUGUGAAGGAACAGCUUGCCAACGCCGCCACUCUGCCUCAGUUUCUCCAUCUAUGAACUGGGAUGGUGCAAGUUUGAUCCCAUGGCUUCAGGCUGCCCGAUGGAGAUGCUGUCAGGGGUGUUAACUGCAGUAAUCGCCAUCUGGGAGCCUGCUCCUGUCACUCUCACUAUGAUGGCCAUGGAAUCCUCAAUGUAGCCAGCCAUCACCAUGCUCAGCCUGCUAAGUCCAGAGCAGGACCCCCAAAUGAAACCUCAACUCGGCUUUCCUCAGGAAUCUCAUAGGUGGGUUUCUGUUUACCAGGAAAGCCACCACUUCCCUUAUCAACUGCCAGUGGUCAGCUACCUGGGACAAGGGCAUCUAGUUCUGGAUUAACCCAACUGACCUCCAACAUAACACAGUCACCAUGUCAGCCACCAGGCUGUUCUGGCCUGGCUGCCUCCUCCCACCAGCUGUUAAAACUUCAAAGCUUGGCUGCUGGCUGCUGUCCUCGACAGCAUGAAUCGGCCCAGCAUGUGGUUUCCCCAAUAAACUGUUC
rnacentral:lncRNA from 1 species